GCUUAUCGACAAUAAAUAUAUACUGACCCGGACAUUCUCUCUUUACUAGCAUAAUGCCAAUGGAUUUUCAUCAUUAAAAGAUCCUCAAAUGGACAGUUGAAUUUUCAAAGCUUUCAAACAAAGUAUAUAUUGAACUUGCAGCUUGGUUGGUACUUUCCUCCAAAGAUAAUCCUAGUCACUGUCGACAACAUUGGAAACUUCAAUAGUCGGAACUGGAGGCCUUCACCAGAAAGCAGUCCUUUACUCAUGUUUUUGCUCUACCUUUCACUCCUGAAAUCAACUUUGGUAUAAGUAUGAUCCUCAGUUAUCAGACCCUAUCAUACAUCUAUGAAAUUUGAAAAUAAACAGGUGUUUAAAAUA